GUGUCAGCAGCCGCGGUAAUACGAAGGUCCCAAGCGUUGUUCGGAAUCACUGGGCGUAAAGAGUGCGUAGGCGGCGCGGAAAGUCAGAUGUGAAAUCCCGGGGCUCAACCUCGGAACGGCAUCCGAUACUCCCGCGCUUGAGGACUGGAGGGGAGUCUGGAAUUCACGGUGUAGCAGUGAAAUGCGUAGAUAUCGUGAGGAACACUAGUGGCGAAGGCGAGACUCUGGACAGUUCCUGACGCUGAGGCACGAAGGCCAGGGGAGCGAAGGGGAUUAGAAACCCGCGUAGUCC
rnacentral:rRNA from 1 species